CCUACGGGCGGCAGCAGUGGGGAAUAUUGCACAAUGGGGGAAACCCUGAUGCAGCGACGCCGCGUGAGUGAAGAAGUAUUUCGGUACGUAAAGCUCUAUCAGCAGGGAAGAAAAUGACGGUACCUGACUAAGAAGCUCCGGCUAACGACGUGCCAGCAGCCGCGGUAAUACGUAGGGGGCAAGCGUAAUCCGGAUUUACUGGGUGUAAAGGGAGCGUAGACGGCAGCGCAAGUCUGGAGUGAAAUCCCAUGGCUUAACCAUGGAACUGCUUUGGAAACUGUGCAGCUAGAGUGCAGGAGAGGUAAGCGGAAUUCCUAGUGUAGCGGUGAAAUGCGUAGAUAUUAGGAGGAACACCAGUGGCGAAGGCGGCUUACUGGACUGUAACUGACGUUGAGGCUCGAAAGCGUGGGGAGCAAACAGGAUUAGAUACCCCGGUAGUC
rnacentral:rRNA from 1 species